rnacentral:rRNA from 1 species
AAAGCUACGGUUCGGUUACGUAUUGCUCAUCAACAGGUAGUAUUAACAGAGUUCGAUUAUGGCUCAGAUUGAACGCUGGCGGGAUGCUUUACGGCAAGUCGAACGGCGGCACGGACUUCGGUCUGGUGGCGAGUGGCGAACAGGUGGUAAUAUCGGAACGUGCCUAGUAGCGGGGGAUAACUACGCUGAAAGCGUACAGCCUAUUGCAUACGCCCUUCGGGGAAAGCGCAGGGGACCUUCGGGCCUCGCACUAAUGAAGCAGCCGACGAUAUCGGAUUAGCUAGUUGGUGGGGUAACGGCUCACAAGGCGACGAUCCGUAGCUGGUUUGAGAGGACGACCAGCCACACUGGGACUGAGACACGGCCCAGACUCCUACAGGAGGCAGCAGUGGGGAAUUUUGGACAAUGGGGGAAACCCUGAUCCAGCCAUCCCGCGUGUGCGAUGAAGGCCUUCGGGUUGUAAAGCACUUUUUGGCAGGAAAGAAACGGCACAGCAAUACCCCGUGCAACUGACUGUACCUGCAAAAAUAAGCACAACUUCACAUUGCCAGCGCUUAGCCAUGAUGGCCACGUAGGGUGCAAGCGUUAAUCGGAAUUACUGGGCGUAAAGCGUGCGCAGGAAAAGGCGGUUCCGGAAGAAAGAUGUGAAAUCCCAGAGCUUAACUUUGGAACUGCAUUUUUAACUACCGAGCUAGAGUGUGUCAGAGGGAGGUGGAAUUCCGCGUGUAGCAGUGAAAUCGUAGAUAUGCGGAGGAACACCGAUAGCGAAGGCAGCCUCCUGGGAUAACACUGACACUCAUGCACAGAAAGCAUUAAGGAGCAAACAGGAUUAGAUACCCUGGUAGUCACGCCCUAAACGAUGUCAACUAGCUGUUGUUGGGGCCUUCCGGGCCUUGGUAGCGCAGCUAACGCGUGAAGUUGACCGCCUGGGAGUACGGUCGCAAGAUUAAAACUCAAAGGAAUUGACGGGGACCCGCACAAGCAGUGGAUGAUGUGGAUUAAUUCGAUGCAACGCGAAAAACCUUACCUACCCUUGACAUGUCUGGAAUCCCGAGAUUUGAGGUGCUCGCAAAGGAACCGGAACACAAGGUGCUGCGCUGGCUGUCGUCAGCUCGUGUCGUGAGAUGUUGGGUUAAGUCCCCGCAACGAGCGCAACCCUUGUCAUUAGUUGCUACGAAAGGGCACUCUAAUGAGACUGCCGGUGGCAAACCGGAGGAAGGUGGGGAUGACGUCAAGUCCUCAUGGCCCUUAUGGGUAGGGCUUCACACGUCAUACAAUGAAUAUGGUCAGGGACAGAGGGUCGCCCACCCAACCCGCGAGAGGGAACCCAAUCCCAGAAACCCGAUCGUAGUCUAGAUCCCAUGAUCUGCAACUCGACUGCGUGAAGUCCGGAAUCGCUAGUAAUCAUAGCGGAUCAGCAUGUCGCGGUGAAUACGUUCCGGAUGUAGCACACACCGCCCGUCACACCAUGGGAGUGGGUUUUUUGCACCAGAAGUAGUUAGCCUAACCCAAGGAGGGCGAUUUACCACCCGGUAGGAUUCAUGACUGGGGUGAAGUCGUAACGGUA